rnacentral:rRNA from 1 species
AGAGUUUGAUCAUGGCUCAGGAUGAACGCUGGCGGCGUGCCUAAUACAUGCAAGUCGAACGAGGUGCUUUUGUAGUAAUACGAGAGUAUCCUAGUGGCGAACGGGUGAGUAACGCGUUGGUGACCUACCCCAAAGUGUGGGAUAACAGUUCGAAAGGAUUGCUAAUACCGCAUGUGGUUAUCGGAUUUAGAAACUGAUAACUAAAGGAGUAAUCCGCUUUGGGAGGGACCUGCGUCCCAUCAGCUAGUUGGUGAGGUAACGGCUCACCAAGGCUACGACGGGUAGGGGACCUGAGAGGGUGACCCCCCACAAUGGAACUGAAACACGGUCCAUACACCUACGGGUGGCAGCAGUAGGGAAUAUUGCACAAUGGGCGAAAGCCUGAUGCAGCAACGCCGCGUGUGCGAUGAAGGCCUUCGGGUCGUAAAGCACUUUUCUGAGGGAUGAGCAAGGACAGUACCUCAGGAAUAAGUCUCGGCUAACUACGUGCCAGCAGCCGCGGUAAAACGUAGGAGGCAAGCGUUAUCCGGAUUCACUGGGCGUAAAGCGCGUGCAGGCGGUUCGGUAAGUUGGGCGUGAAAUCUCCUGGCUUAACUAGGAGAGGUCGUUCAAUACUACCGGACUUGAGAGUGAUAGAGGAAGAUGGAAUUCCCGGUGUAGUGGUGAAAUGCGUAGAUAUCGGGAGGGAACACCAGUGGCGAAAGCGAUCUUCUGG